rnacentral:rRNA from 1 species
AGGAUAAACGCUGGCGGCGUGCCUAACACAUGCAAGUCGAACGUCCUACGCAAGUAGGGAGUGGCGGACGGGUGAGUAGCACGUGGGCAAUCUACCUUUCGGUGAGGAAUACCGGCGAGAAAUCGCCGACAAUACCGCAUACGCUUCUCUUCACCGGGAAGCAAAGUUGCGCAAGCGACGCUCUGAGAUGGGCCUGUGGCCGAUUAGCUAGUUGGUGGGGUAACGGCCUACCAAGGCGACGAUCGGUAGCUGGUCUGAGAGGACGAUCAGCCACACUGGGAUUGAGAACGGCCCAGACUCCUACGGGGGCAGCAGUGAGGAAUUUUCCGCAAUGGACGCAAGUCUGACGGAGCAACGCCGCGUGCAGGAUGAAGGUUUUCGGAUCGUAAACUGCUUUUCGUCGGGGACGAGCAAGGGACGGUACCCGAGGAAGAACGCCCCGGACUAACGUACGCGCCAGCAGCCGC